rnacentral:piRNA from 8 species
AGGGUCCAGGGUUCAAGUCCCUGUUCGGGC